UUCAACGGCCGCGGUAUCCUAACCGUGCAAAGGUAGCGUAAUCACUUGUCUCUUAAAUAGAGACCUGUAUGAACGGCUAAAUGAGGAUAAACCUGUCUCCUUUAACAAAUCAGUGAAACUGAUCCACCAGUACAAAAGCUGGUAUAGCCCCAUAAGACGAGAAGACCCUGUGGAGCUUUAAAUUCAUGCCAAUCAAUUGAAACACAACUUAACUAAUGGCUAAAAAUUUUAAGUUGGGGCAACUUCGGAAAAAAGCUAAACUUCCGAGCAUAAGACCAUGUCUUACCAAGACCUACAAGUCAAAGCUAAAAUUGACCCAGUACCACUGACAAUCGAACCAAGUUACCCCAGGGAUAACAGCGCAAUCUUCUUCAAGAGUUCCUAUCGACAAGAAGGUUUACGACCUCGAUGUUGGAUCAGGACACCCAAAUGGUGCAGCCGCUAUUAAAGGUUC
rnacentral:rRNA from 1 species